rnacentral:lncRNA from 1 species
UGAUAUUUAUUUAAUUGGAGAUAAAACGAUUGAUAACUUUUAUAACUUAAAACUAAAAGCUUCUUACUAUGCUGGAAAUGGUGGAAAAGGGUAUAAUAACAAUCAAGUUGGUGAAAAUGGAAAAAAUGAGUAUAUAAAUGUACCUAUGAAUACAAUUAUAUAUAAUGAACAAAAUGAAUUUAUUAAUUUUAUACAUGUGAAUAAUCAAAAAGUUUUAGUAUCGAAGGGUGGUAAAGGUGGAAAAGGAAAUUAUUCAUAUCGAACGAAAAAAUUGAAAAUACCAUUUGUUUGUCAAUAUGGAGAAAAAACAAAAGAAAAAAAAAUUUUAUUAAAAAAAAUAUUUUUUACAGAUUUUGGUAUUAUCGGCUACCCUAAUGUUGGGAAAAGUACUCUUUUAAAUAAAAUUACCAAUGCAAAUAUUAAAAUUGCUAAUUAUAGUUAUACAUCUAAAUUUCCGAACUUGGGCGUAUUUAAGUAUGAACAUAAUACUGGGUUGAGUGGUCAAGAUAGUGCAGAGAGUGGUGUAGUAGAUACUGCUGAAAAUAAUGAGAAACGUAGCAUAACGGGUGACGUAAUAAAUGACGUAGUGGAUGACGUAAAGGGUGACGUAAUAGAUGACAUAGUGGGAAACGUAGCGAACACAAUGACAAGCUCCGAGACGACCCGAGCUAACUAUACCGUUAUGGACUUUCCAGGAAUAAUAAAAGACCUAGAUAAAAAAACGUCUAACAUAUCGUAUAAAUAUUUAGAACACUUAAAAUAUAGUAAUGUGCUAAUUUAUGUGUUUGAUAUUAAUAGUAAUAGUGAUACUAUUGUUGAAACUUAUCACAAUAUUAAGAAUGUGCUGAUCUAUUAUGAUCGUAUUUUUGAAAAAAAAAAAGAAUUUAUUUUGCUAAACAAAUUAGACAUAUAUAUAAAAGAUAAAAACAAAAAAAAAAAUAUAAAUUCAUUAGUUAACCUUUUAAAAAAAUCUUUAGAAGUUGAUAAUAUAUUUUGCAUAUCUGCAUUAACAGGAGAGCAUGUAGAAGAAGCGUUAAACGAAAUUGUUUUAAAGAUAGGCAGCAAUAAUGACAAUGAUAAUGCCAAUUGCAAUAACAAUGAGAGUAACAAUGUUAUAAACGAAUUUAUAAACACACUACCUGUCCCGUUAGAUAUUGAAAAAGCAGAAAAUAGUGAUUAUUACCCCCCACUUUGUUACAAAAUUUAUAAAUAUGAUGAACAUAUAUAUAUAAUUAAAGGCAAAUAUAUUGAAAAUCAAGCCAACAUUUUUAAUUUUUCAAAAAGUGACAGUGCUAAAGUAUUUAACGAUAUUUUAGAUGAGUUAAAAGUGAAUUUAAAAUUAAAAAAUAUUGGAGCAAGAGAAGGAG